CCGGAAUAGCUCCUGGAAACGGGUGGUAAUGCCGGAUGUUCCACAUGAUCGCAUGUGAUUGUGGGAAAGAUUCUAUCGGCGUGGGAUGGGGUCGCGUCCUAUCAGCUUGUUGGUGAGGUAACGGCUCACCAAGGCUUCGACGGGUAGCCGGCCUGAGAGGGCGACCGGCCACAUUGGGACUGAGAUACGGCCCAGACUCCUACGGGAGGCAGCAGUGGGGAAUAUUGCACAAUGGGCGCAAGCCUGAUGCAGCGACGCCGCGUGAGGGAUGGAGGCCUUCGGGUUGUAAACCUCUUUUGUUUGGGAGCAAGCCUUCGGGUGAGUGUACCUUUCGAAUAAGCGCCGGCUAACUACGUGCCAGCAGCCGCGGUAAUACGUAGGGCGCAAGCGUUAUCCGGAUUUAUUGGGCGUAAAGGGCUCGUAGGCGGCUCGUCGCGUCCGGUGUGAAAGUCCAUCGCUUAACGGUGGAUCUGCGCCGGGUACGGGCGGGCUGGAGUGCGGUAGGGGAGACUGGAAUUCCCGGUGUAACGGUGGAAUGUGUAGAUAUCGGGAAGAACACCGAUGGCGAAGGCAGGUCUCUGGGCCGUCACUGACGCUGAGGAGCGAAAGCGUGGGGAGCGAACAGGAUUAGAUACCCUGGUAGUCCACGCCGUAAACGGUGGACGCUGGAUGUGGGGCACGUUCCACGUGUUCCGUGUCGGAGCUAACGCGUUAAGCGUCCCGCCUGGGGGAGUACGGCCGCAAGGCUAAAACUCAAAGAAAUUGACGGGGGCCCGCACAAGCGGCGGAGCAUGCGGAUUAAUUCGAUGCAACGCGAAGAAGCCUUACCUGGGCUUGACAUGUUCCCGACGACGACAGAGAUGGCGUUUCCCUUCGGGGCGGGUUCACAGGUGGUGCAUGGUCGUCGUCAGCUCGUGUCGUGAGAUGUUGGGUUAAGUCCCGCAACGAGCGCAACCCUCGCCCCGUGUUGCCAGCACGUUAUGGUGGGAACUCACGGGGGACCGCCGGGGUUAACUCGGAGGAAGGUGGGGAUGACGUCAGAUCAUCAUGCCCCUUACGUCCAGGGCUUCACGCAUGCUACAAUGGCCGGUACAGCGGGAUGCGACAUGGCGACAUGGAG
rnacentral:rRNA from 1 species